rnacentral:rRNA from 1 species
AUUGAACGCUGGCGGAAUGCUUUACACAUGCAAGUCGAACGGCAGCACGGGUGCUUGCACCUGGUGGCGAGUGGCGAACGGGUGAGUAAUACAUCGGAACGUACCCAGUUAUGGGGGAUAACUAACCGAAAGGUUAGCUAAUACCGCAUACGCCCUGAGGGGGAAAGCGGGGGACCGUAAGGCCUCGCGUAAUUGGAGCGGCCGAUGUCUGAUUAGCUAGUUGGUGAGGUAAAGGCUCACCAAGGCUACGAUCAGUAGCAGGUCGGAGAGGAUGAGCUGCAACCCUGGAACUGAGACACGGUCCAGACGCCUGCGGGAGGCAGCAGUGGGGAAUUUUGGACAAUGGGCGAAGGCCUGAUCCAGCCAUUCCGCGUGAGUGAAGAAGGCCUUCGGGUUGUAAAGCUCUUUCGGCAGGGAAGAAACGCUCUGGGAUAAUACUCCGGGGUAAUGACGGUACCUGAAGAAGAAGCACCGGCUAACUACGUGCCAGCCGCCGCCGUAA